rnacentral:rRNA from 1 species
UACAGAGGGUGCGAGCGUUAAUCGGAAUUACUGGGCGUAAAGGGUGUGUAGGUUGCUGAAUAAGUUAGAUGUGAAAGGCCUGGGCUUAACCUGGGAAUUGCGUAUAAUACUGUUCAGCUAGAGUAUUGCAGAGGGUAGUAGAAUUUCCAGUGUAGCGGUGAAAUGCGUAGAUAUUGGAAGGAAUACCAGUGGCGAAGGCGACUAUCUGGGCAAAUACUGACACUGAGACACGAAAAGCGUGGGGAGCGAACAGG